rnacentral:lncRNA from 1 species
CGGCCGCUGUAGUCCUGUCCCAGGCCUGUCCAGCAGCCCUUCCGGCUCCCCGCUGCAUGGGAAGCUGAGUAGCCAAGACUCUUACAAUAACUUUACCAACAACAACCCUGGCAACCCCCGGCUUUCUCCCCUCCCCAGCUUGAUGGUAGUGACACCUCUUGCACAAAUCAAGCAGCCAAUGACAUUGGGGACCAUCACGAAACGAACAGGGUAAGGCCUACAGCUUGAUGCUGUUUCCACAGCCACUGUAAAGGGUGGGAUGGAUGGAAACUGAAUGUGCUUUUUUUCAUUGUGUGUUUUUGAUUAUGUUCUUCAUUUCCAGCCCAUGUGAGACUCAGUGGUAGCCAAGUUAGUUGAGUUCAGAAUGCACACAGACAUGCUCACACACAAGCAUGCUCACACAGAGCUGAGUACACG